rnacentral:rRNA from 1 species
CAAUAGCGUAUAUUAAAGUUGUUGCAGUUAAAAAGCUCGUAGUUGGAUUUCUGGUGGGAGCGAUCGGUCUGGCGCUUAGCGCGAGUACUUGCAUCGUCUCCGGCCAUCCUUGGGGAGAGUCUGUCUGGCAUUAGGUUGUCGGGCAGAGGAUCCUCAUCGUUUACUGUGAAAAAAUUAGAGUGUUCAAAGCAGGCUAAUGCCGUUGAAUAUAUUAGCAUGGAAUAAUAAGAUAGGACUUUGGUACUAUUUUGUUGGUUUGCGCACCAAAGUAAUGAUUAAUAGGGACAGUUGGGGGUAUUCGUAUUCCGUUGUCAGAGGUGAAAUUCUUGGAUUUACGGAAGACGAACUACUGCGAAAGCAUUUACCAAGGAUGUUUUCAUUAA